rnacentral:rRNA from 1 species
AGUACGUUUUCAUUAGUCAAGAACGAAAGUCAGAGGAUCGAAGGCGAUCAGAUACCGCCCUAGUUCUGACCGUAAACUUUGCUACCUGACGAUCCGCCGACGUCGUACCCUUGACUCGGCGGGAAGUCUCCGGGAAACUAAGGUUUCGAGCUCCGGGGGAAGUAUGGUUGCAAAACUGAAACUUAAAGGAAUUGACGGAAGGGCACCACCAGGAGUGGAGCCUGCGGCUUAAUUCGACUCAACACGGGGAAACUUACCAGGACCGGGCGCUGAAAGGAUUGACAGAUUGAGAGCUCUUUCUCGAUUUAGCGGGAGGUGGUGCAUGGCCGUUUCAAGUUGGUGGUGCGAAUUGUCUGGUUGAUUCCGGUAACGAGCGAGACUCUGCCUUGCUAAUUAGUCGGCGAAUCGGCUCCGAUAGACGAGAUCGUUGCCUGAUUCGGGCGAAGCUCUUUCCCGUCUCGGUGCUGUGGUGCGGUAGCGUCGUUGGCUUCGGUGGCUUCGGCUGUCGCGAGUUGGCGGUGUCUGUCGUGUCGCGCCUGAGCGGAAUUCGGAAGGCUUUGUCCAGAUGGCACGUUUUCUACGUCCAAGAGCGUUCGUCGCAAAACACUCUUCUUAGAAGAAUCGGCGGCGUUUAGCCGCACGAAAUUGAGCCAAAACAGGUCUGUGAUGCCCUUAGAUGUUCCGGGCCGCACGCGCGCUACAAUGGUAGGUUCAACGUGCUUCGUCCCCCUCCGAAAGGAGUGGGUAAUCACCGGAACGCCAUUAGACUUCGGUAGGGACUGGGGUUUGAAACUAUCCCCCACGAACGAGGAAUUCCCAGUAGCCGCGAGUCCUCAGCCCGCGUCGAUUGAGUUUCUGCCCUUUGUACACACCGCCCGUCGCUACUACCGAUUGAGUGAUCGAGUGAGGACCUCGGACUGGCGCCCAGGGCCGAUCGACCUUCUCGUUCGCGAGAGGCCGUCGCCCAGGGCUGACGGAAUGACGUCCCAGCUCG